UGCUCCUUCACUGGUGAUGAUGGAAUCUGU
rnacentral:piRNA from 1 species